UUAGAGAAAUGGGCAUCGAACCCAUAAUUGAGAAAUCAAAAUUCUCCGUAAUCCCAUUUUACUAUUCCCU
rnacentral:tRNA from 1 species